GUGCUCGCUUCUACGGCACAUAUACUAAAAUUGGAAUGAUACAGAUAAGAUUAGCAUGGUCCCUGAGCAAGGAUGACAGGCAAAUUCAUGAAGAGUUCCAUAUUUUU